rnacentral:misc_RNA from 1 species
UGUCCAGGAUGCGGCGGUCCCUGUCAUCACGUGACCCGCGAUAUUAUGCCACGGUGCUGUCAGCUGGCCGAACGGAAGAGUGGACACAGAGAGACGAGGGAGGUCUGAGAGGAAAUCAAAGCGCAGCAAUGGAAUCAGUCGAUUGAGAAGAAUCGAACGAUGUUAUUAUUUAUUGCGUCUGGGUGGUCUUUUCGUCGUUUGUGCCGUUCUCUUUCCUUUCCGUCUUGUGUGCUGUUUGUGUCACUAUCCAGGUGGCAUAAUAUCGGGGUGCGCGGGUGGUGUCAAUGCGUAUCAAUUGGGCAGCGAUCGCGAAGCAUCUGUCUACAGCGUAUCGGAUAACCUCCGCGGCAGUCGAUGCGGUUCAGUGACUAGGGAGAGUGACACUAGUUGGGUGUGGUGACACUAUGGGGCUGCGUUGAGUGACAGAGGGCUUGUUCUCAAGGAGUGGAACGAAUGCGUCGGUGAGUAUACUGGGCUAUUUGGGAGUCUGGAGGAGCGAGUAUGAUUCAGAAUUGCAGUUGAGGCGGUAUCGCCAUUCUGCGUAGUUGUGGUGAUGUGCCAGACGUUGUACAAGUACAAGUACAAGUACAAGUACAAGUACAAUCUACUCGUACAAGUACUUGUACUCCAUUUGCAUUAUUGAAGUGACUAAAUUGACUCUGGAUACCACCGCAUUAUUAAUACCCGUCGCCAUUGUCAUAUUAUGAGUGUCGGAAGUCCGCUGUGCGUGGAGGGUAACCAAGUACAAGUGCUGUACCGGGAUAGGUCAGAUGGUGGUCAAUGGUCAAUAACGAUGAACCAGGUGUUACGACUUUCAAGUACACUCAAUGUCUCUCACACUGGUUGUCUUUGUGCCGAUCUGACCUUGGAGGUGCAGUGCAUACUACAGGCCAUACAGUGUCUUCCGCGAUAAAGCCGUGAUACUGCACAGUUCGUGGGGGCCAUGUGCAGUAAGUCCGCCAUCCGACUUCAAGCAUCGGCCUAGACCUUUGCGGUAUUUUCCCCUACACCGUAGUUGUGGUGCUGACUACAUGGGCGCGGUGGUGCCCAUCACAUGGCUCAUGUGCCCACUACAUGGGAGCAGUGGUUCCCAUCACAUAGUCCAUGUGUCCCCUACACGAUCCAUGUGGUGACGACGCGAUCCAUGUGGUGACGACGCGAGGCCAAUGUCAUAGACAGCAAUGUGUCCCCAUGUGCCCCCAUUUGCCGCCAUGCUGAUAACGACAGCCUCUACGAUUGGCCAUGAGCUGUGGAGCAGCUAGUAUCAUAAAAUAUCUGGUCGAGCCCCGGGCCGUGGCCAGACUUGCCAUUCACAUGGGUUUCAGCUUUGUCUGCUCGGUUGUUGAUAAUCUGGAAAUUACAUCGUCAUGUUGGAACCAGUAUGGGCUGAUUCGUGAUGCAUCUAACCUGUAAACGCAAAGCCAGCACGGGUUGUGGUAAUAUGGGGAGGAGCAGGAGCAGGAGCAGGAACUGGGAGCAAGAAGCAUGGAGCAAGGUGCAAGUGAGCACAUUACUGGCUACCGCGGGGGGGAGGGGUGGGGGAAUGUGUCAGCCGCGCCCCUGAGUCUUAGUCAUCAUCAUAAAGGGGGCGUCAGUAUUAGCGAUCGUGGGGGCAAGUACUAACGCUCCGACUAUAUUCGCACUGUUCCAUUGGUCUGCUUACCAAGCACCAACUGCGACUUUCCCACGUGCCGCCGAAACGCCGGGGUCGUCGAUUUGUGUCUCAAAAAAUUAUCCAUUUUAUCCGAAUAUCCGGGU